rnacentral:rRNA from 1 species
GCAUAUCAAUAAGCGGAGGAAAAGAAACCAACAGGGAUUGCCUCAGUAACGGCGAGUGAAGCGGCAACAGCUCAAAUUUGAAAUCUGGCCUCUGGCCCGAGUUGUAAUUUGCAGAGGAUGUUUCUGGCGAGGUGCCUUCCGAGUUCCCUGGAACGGGACGCCAUAGAGGGUGAGAGCCCCGUACGGUUGGUCGCUAAGCCUCUGUGAAACUCCUUCGACGAGUCGAGUAGUUUGGGAAUGCUGCUCUAAAUGGGAGGUGUACGCCUUCUUAAGCUAAAUACAGGCUAGAGACCGAUAGCGCACAAGUAGAGUGAUCGAAAGAUGAAAAGCACUUUGAAAAGAGAGUUAAAAAGCACGUGAAAUUGUUGAAAGGGAAGCGCUCUUGACCAGACUUGCGCCGGUUGAUCAUCCACCGUUCUCGGUGGUGCACUCUGCCGGCUCAGGCCAGCAUCAGUUCGGCCCGGGGGACAAAGGCUUCGGGAAUGUGGCUCUCUCCGGGGAGUGUUAUAGCCCGUUGCGUAAUACCCUGGGCUGGACUGAGGUUCGCGCAUCUGCAUGGAUGCUGGCGUAAUGGUCAUCAGUGACCCGUCUUGAAACACGGACC